UACGAAGGGAGCUAGCGUUGUUCGGAAUCACUGGGCGUAAAGCGCACGUAGGCGGAUUUGUCAGUCAGGGGUGAAAUCCCGGGGCUCAACCUCGGAACUGCCUUUGAUACAGCAAGUCUUGAGUUCGAGAGAGGUGGGUGGAAUUCCUAGUGUAGAGGUGAAAUUCGUAGAUAUUAGGAAGAACACCGGUGGCGAAGGCGGCCCACUGGCUCGAUACUGACGCUGAGGCGCGAAAGCUAGGGGAGCAAACGGG
rnacentral:rRNA from 1 species